UCAGUGAAUCAUCGAAUCUUUGAACGCACAUUGCGCCCCUUGGUAUUCCAUGGGGCAUGCUUGUUCGAGCGUCAU
rnacentral:rRNA from 1 species